UGGGGAAUAUUGGACAAUGGGCGAAAGCCUGAUCCAGCCAUGCCGCGUGUGUGAAGAAGGCCUUUUGGUUGUAAAGCACUUUAAGCGAGGAGGAGGCUACUAGUACUAAUACUACUGGAUAGUGGACGUUACUCGCAGAAUAAGCACCGGCUAACUCUGUGCCAGCAGCCGCGGUAAUACAGAGGGUGCGAGCGUUAAUCGGAUUUACUGGGCGUAAAGCGUGCGUAGGCGGCUAAUUGAGUCGGAUGUGAAAUCCCCGAGCUUAACUUGGGAAUUGCAUUCGAUACUGGUUAGCUAGAGUGUGGGAGAGGAUGGUAGAAUUCCAGGUGUAGCGGAGAAAUGCGUAGAGAUCUGGAGGAAUACCGAUGGCGAAGGCAGCCAUCUGGCCUAACACUGACGCUGAGGUACGAAAGCAUGGGGAGCAAACAGG
rnacentral:rRNA from 1 species